rnacentral:rRNA from 1 species
UACAGAGGGUGCGAGCGUUAAUCGGAAUUACUGGGCGUAAAGCGCGCGUAGGCGGCUUUGCAAGUCGGGUGUGAAAUCCCCAGGCUUAACCUGGGAACUGCAUUCGAGACUGCAUUGCUAGAGUAUGGGAGAGGGAAGUGGAAUUUCCGGUGUAGCGGUGAAAUGCGUAGAUAUCUGGAGGAACACCGGUGGCGAAGGCGGCAUUCUGGACCGAUAUUGACGCUGAGGAGCGAAAGCCAGGGGAGCAAACGGG